ensembl:lncRNA
AGAGAGGAAGGGAAUGACAAGCAACCAGCAGGGCUUGCUGGACUGUGGGAAGCAGGACCGAGUGAGCAGGCUUGCCUCGCUGUGCUGGAGGAUCUCCCCUCCUCAGCAGGGCCUGUUCCCAGAGGUGAAUAUGGGCCCACUUAGACACAGGUGUGUGUGUCUGUGUAUUGUCAGCACCUGCAGGCAGAGAACGUCUCCAGGGCUGUGGCGUUUCCUCAUGCCCCCUGUUCUCAGAAAGCCCACACUGCAGGCUGCUGGCGAGAAGACCUCAGGAAGCAGGUCCUGUGAAGAGGUUCAAUCCAAUUUGCCUUCCCCAUGCUCCAGCAUUGACCUGGACAUUGGAAUUGAGAAAGAAAUGGGAAGAAAAGGAGGACUCUGCAGAGGUGAAUGAGAGGCACAGACUUCUCAUUGUUUUGGAGGAAAACAGAAUGGUGUGGUAUCCCAGAAGCUAAGACAACAAAGGGUUUCAAGGAGGAAGAGAACAACUGCAUCAACGCCAAAUGCUGCUGAGAGGUUGAGGAAGAUUAUUUCCAUCUGUAGGGAAAUAUGGCACCUGAUAAUCCUGAGACUACAUCAUUAUGGUUGAAGAUUAAAAGGAAGAGACAGCCUUUCUCUAAGUACCCAAGUUGCACAUCUCAGAGAAGCUUAUAAUUGACACUGUGAAGAUUAGCCCUGAGCUAACAUCUGCUGCCAGUCCUCCUCUCUUUGCUGAGGAAGAAGCCAACAUCCAUGCCCAUCUACCUCUACUUUAUAUCUGGGACACCUGCCACAGCAUGUCAUGCCAAGCUGUGUGUAGGCCUGCACCCGGGAUCCAAACCUGCAAAUCCCAGGCUGCAGAAGCAGAGCAUGCGUACUUAACCACUGCGCCACCGGGCCACCCCAAUGUACAUGUAAUUUUUUUAAUUACUCAGACUUUGUCUCAAGGAGUAUACUGAUAGUAGAGGAAACUGACAAGAAAAUAACAAGUGCAACAUAGAAUUUCUAAAAGUGCUUUAAUAGAUGUAUAUGCAGCAUGAUGUAGGAGCACAAAAGCAUAUAAAAAUGAAGCAAAUAAUUUUGAAAUAGGAAGAUGGGUUAAACCUUGGCUAAGUAGGUGGCAUUUAUACUGGGGUUUGAGGAAGAGGUUUGGAAUAGGCAGAGAAGUGAAUGUGUUCUACUUCUUCAAUGUUCUACUCGUCCAUUCCUGGUUUUCCUUAAACCACUAAGCAUUGAGGAGUUUGUUUUCUAAAUCUUCACAGCCCAGUUUUAUUUACUAGAAGUGCCGCCUCAUCAGACUUGGUGACUGUUCUCUUAGCAGAUCAAGGUUCCUGGGCAACAUCUUGCAGCCUUUACAGAAUCAGAGCUUCUUGCCCUGUGUGGUAGCUCUUCACUGCAGCUGCCCCCGCAGUCCAGGCACUAGCAACAGAAAUGAGUCAAGGAGCCUUCAUCUUUGUGUAAAUAAGGGCCCUGUUGUAUCGUCACGCUGCAGGGGCAGGGUGUGGUCUGCAGGCCGCAGGGUGAUGCCUCAAACUGUCUGGACUCAAAGUCUAAGCGCCGCAUCCAGGUUCUUAAGCAAGUGAUUGAGCCUGUGCAACAUGUCUCUCCUGUUCCCCCAUCCCCUCCAAGACUGGAGAUGAGCUGGGCAGGGUGACCUGUGUCACAAGCCGAUUGUCAGAAUAUCACAUUAACAAUCAUUUGUUAGGUCCUCUUUCCUGUUUUGUCAGUAAAGCUCUGUUGAGACUGAUGGUGAGGGGAGAUUCAGGCCGAGGUAGUCCAACUUCCGCUGAGUGGCUUAUGACUUCAGACAUGUAUCCUCGUGUUGGAGAGUGAUGUUCAUCAGAGAACAUUUUCAGCCCAAUGAUAUAUUCAAUCCGGGCCACAUUUUAUUGUCAUUAAUGAGACUGCAUGCUCUUUAAUAUUUUUUUACUUUUUUCAAAAUUAGGUAUUACAGCCCCCAACUUAACAAUAUUUAAAACUCUCCAUCUCUGCCACUCAUGGGCUUGUCAUCUCUGCUCUACUUGAGUCUGUCUACACAUGCAUUUUCUCUCCUGGUUAUUUGAAAUGACUUAAGAUGUUCAUACACAGUGUGUCUUCCGGUUGUGCAAAUAUUUUCGUGUUGCUCAUGAUUAAGUUGCUUGCAUGUGCCCGAUAGAGUCUGUUGAAUUUCUAAGGUCACAGUAAUUGGCAGAUGGAAGAAGUUCCAUCCUAUGAACUUUGAGGAAGGCUCUGGCUGCCUUCCUGCUUGACAGAGCAGGGAGGGAGAUGAAUUCUGCUUAAGCUGACAGCGGGCUGCAUAACAAACAGCCCAAGCCAUCAAACUGUAUUAUUUUUAACUAACACGCAUUAUUCCCUUUGAAAAGUAAAAUCUCCUCUUGAUAGUUUUCCUCCACCAAAGAAUGCACUUUCCUCUCCCUAGAAAUGGCAGCUCUGCCUCUCCUAGAUGCUCAACUCGGACAGUUAUUGCCCUAAAUGACGGAUGAGCUCACUUCCCAGCAGCUCAUCUCGGCCACUCGGCAGCAGCCCUAGACAGUCUGGCAAACCUCUUCUGGUCCGUAGCGUUCUCUCAGACCUGCCCUGGCUCCUCUCCGCUGAGCUGGACUUAGUCCUCUCAAAUCUGUUGACCUACCUCAGCCCUUCUCUCUUGCUGGCAGUUAUUUCUCCUUAGCCUCCCUUAUUUCCCUGCAGGCUCAAUUUCUUAUGUAAAUGUUGGGUGACCACUUUGGGCCAGCUGCUGUCUCCAUGCGAUUGCUCACCAGAACAGUAGGUUUCCGGAGCUGGCUCUCCUAAAGAGAACUUUCUAUCCCUCAGUGGAACUGCAUUCUAUAAAGGGAUUGUGUUCUCAGCCCUUACGUAAAGAACGAGAACCAUUUAGAGUCAAACUUAACUUGGGAAAUCUCACAUUGGGGACCACACACCACUCUCAAUAGGUCCAGCACAACCAGAUUUGCCUCCAAGGUUGGAACAGAUUGCUAUAUCCUUUUUUGGACAUGAGACGAAUUAAUUUGUUCUUUUAUUUUAGUAGCCAUUGCGUAAAAUCACACCUAGCGCGGCAAGAAGUUCACGCUAUAAGAAGCAAGGGGGAAUGAAACUCAACUGCAUUAAUAGUCUAUGGAUGCUUCACCACUCAUGUUCUCUGUGCAUGUUCUCUCUUUCUCUCUCCCCCUCCAUCCAUCCCUCCAUCCCCCUUUCCUCCCUUCUUCCCUGCCACCUCCUUCUCUCCCCUUCUCCCCCACCUCCUUCUCUCUCUGUCUCUCCCUUCCCUCUCUCCCUGGCUCCAUCUCACCAUCUUCUCUUCUCUUUCUUCUCUUCUCUUCUAUUCCUUCUCCCUCUCUCUCUCUCUUCUUCUCCAUUUUAUCCUGCUCCUCCUCCUUUCCCUCCUUCCCUCUUCCCUCUGACGCACACACAGGAAUCAUUGCAUUUAACGGUAAGCUGUCUUCACGUACCUGUAUUAAAAAGCUGAAUCAUCCUGUUCUAUCCCACCUCAAGGUCUUAGUGAUCAUCUCUGAAAGCUUGGCCUUAACUUGCCCCACUGUCUUCCUGUCGUUUUCUUCAUUUCCACAGUCUCUCUCUCCUCCCUGUGAUCCACCCACGUCAAUCUUACUUUUCCAUCUUUAUUCUCUCGGAGGUCUUGAUCUCCUUCCCCCC